rnacentral:rRNA from 1 species
GACGAACGCUGGCGGCGUGCUUAACACAUGCAAGUCGAGCGGAGCGGCGAACGGGUGAGUAACGCGUGAGUAACUGCCCCCCUCUCUGGGAUAACAGUUGGACACGGCUGCUAAUACCGGAUAGUGGGGGAUGCCUCGCGUCCUAUCAGCUUGUUGGUGGGGUAGUGGCCUACCAAGGCGACGCCGGGUAGCCGGCCUGAGAGGGCUACCGGGCACAAUGGGAUGGGGUGCCGGCCAAACUCCUACGGGAGGCAACAGUGGGGGAUAUUGCACAAUGGGGGGAACCCUGGUGGAGCAACCCGCGGGCGGGAAGGAGGGCUUCGGGUUGUAAACCGGUUUCAGCCAAGGCGCGGUAGUGGCAGAAGAAGCAACGGCUAACUACGUGCCAGCAACCGCGGUAAUUC